ACUCUCAGACAGGAAUAAAGAACGAACCUAUAAUUUUUUUACUUCACUAAUAUGUUGUCUUAAAAAAAAUCAACUGAAUGCUUGUUUGUUUUUCAUAAUACAGUUCCUUGAGCGGCCUUCCAGUCACCUGACUCUAUAUUUGACUGUCCCGUUUGUUUACCUUUAUUUUAUUGCACUGCUCACCAUAACUGAGGUACUUAGCCACAGAAGUGGCCACACUGGUUUUAUUUAAGCGGAAUUCCUCUUUUGGCGCGCAGGGCAGAGACAGUUACGCAGUAGCAGUCAUCCUCCGUAGAGGGCGCUCUAGUUUGGAGCGCCAUCCCUGAGAAACACAUUCCUUUUACGGUUUUCCAAAGAUUUUUUAGUUUGUGGGAAAGUAUUCGACUCUCGAUGGUAUGGUGACCAUCACGGGGCUUCCAAAUCCUGAGCGGACUUUGAUGUUUUUUUUUUUUUUUUGCCCGAUAGUGAUUUUUAUGCACAGCGACGGACCGGCGACGUUCCGGGCAUUAGUGCUUCCCCGUAAUGGAGUGUAGGUCAGAAUAAAGGGAGCAAAAGGAGAAGCCGGAAGUGGCGUUGCAGUUGUGGGUUUUGUCGUUUGUGAGACAAUCUUUGAGUGGAGCCCGGCGGCUAACAGAGCUAGCCACGAGUGGGCCUGGGCGGUGGUGCGGGCGCGGCGAGCGGCACAACGGUCUGGUCAGGUGGCGGGACCAUUCCCACGGCCCUCUCACUGGCAGACCAUCGAGCACACAAGUGUGUGCCAACAGCCAUUUUGUCUGCUGGAGCAGCCCAAGAGGAACUGGCUCAUCUGUCUGGUGUGCUUUACCCAGGCCUCCCCUGUGGGUGCAAGUGUGAGGUGGGGUGAGGCAAGUGAGUUGUUGUCUCUGGAACUGGUGCAUCAUGACUGUGGAAUACCUCUGUCCACACAGCUGAGUGGGUCCGAGGAGUGAGGUGAGUGCUGCAUACAUGGGGUUCUUGCUUUUGUAGGUGGUUAGAUUUUUUUUUUUUUGUUAAAUAAAUUUUACUCAAAGGACUUACA
rnacentral:lncRNA from 1 species